rnacentral:rRNA from 1 species
UAGGGAAUAUUGGACAAUGGGGGAAACCCUGAUCCAGCAAUGCAGCGUGAGUGACGAAGGCCUUAGGGUUGUAAAACUCUUUCAUCGGUGAGGAUAAUGACAGUAGCCGAAGAAGAAGGACCGGCUAAUUCCGUGCCAGCAGCCGCGGUAAUACGGAAGGUCCUAGCGUUGUUCGGAAUUACUGGGCGUAAAGCGCAUGUAGGCGGAACAAAAAGUUAGAAGUGAAAUCCCUGGGCUCAACCUAGGAAUUGCUUUUAAAACUUUUGUUCUGGAAUUCAGGAGAGGAAAAUGGAAUUUCCAGUGUAGAGGUGAAAUUCGUAGAUAUUGGAAGGAACACCAGUGGCGAAGGCGAUUUUCUGGACUGAUAUUGACGCUGAGAUGCGAAGGCAUGGGUAGCAAACGGGAUUAGAUACCCCCGAGUAGUC